UUGGUGAGGUAACGGCCCACCAAGGCGACGACGGGUAGCCGGCCUGAGAGGGCGACCGGCCACACUGGGACUGAGACACGGCCCAGACUCCUACGGGAGGCAGCAGUGGGGAAUAUUGCACAAUGGGCGAAAGCCUGAUGCAGCGACGCCGCGUGAGGGAUGACUGCCUUCGGGUUGUAAACCUCUUUCAGCAGGGACGAAGCGAAAGUGACGGUACCUGCAGAAGAAGCACCGGCCAACUACGUGCCAGCAGCCGCGGUAAUACGUAGGGUGCGAGCGUUGUCCGGAAUCACUGGGCGUAAAGGGCGCGUAGGCGGCGCGGGAAGCCCGUGGUGAAAGCCCGAGGCUCAACUUCGGGUCGGCCAUGGAUACUCCUGGGCUUGAGCACUGUAGAGGCAGGUGGAAUUCCGGGUGUAGCGGUGGA
rnacentral:rRNA from 1 species